GCUGCUUUCAUCACACGCGAAUGAGAGAGAAAGAGAGUUUGAGGCUCUUGUGGAAGUUAGAGAGGGAAAAAGCUUGAGCUCUCUGCAAGCGUUCAACCAUGGCUGUUGGGAGGAGAAGAGGAGAAGAUCUGCACAAAGGCUUCACGAAAGGUUUGCUUCGAGAUUUCACACUCAACCUAACUUCCCCCAGAUCAAAACCCUGAGCACCAGGUCAUUACCAAACUUCCGCCACGACCUCCUCUGCCUACUCCCUCUCCGCUCUGCCACUCUCCCGUCCCCGAGUCGCCGAUGUUAGAAGCGGCUCCUGGACUAGAUCCAUAGGUUUCCCGCUUCUUUCUCGUCAUCGAACGGCAUCGUUUCAAAGCUCUGGAAGGUUCUUCAGUGGUGGCAGGAGUAGUCGGCCAAGCGACGUCGUUCUAGUGGUGGCCGCGGAAUACGACUUGGAAGGGGACCGAAUCGGCGAAGGGAUCAGCAAAAUGUUUCCUUGGCUUUCAUGAUGGGGGGAUCAAGGAGGCAAACAGAUCAUGGAGGAGGCAUGGGGAAAUAAAUGAAGUUGGCUGGAGUGUCGUGUGGGGGAACACCAAAUGCUGAUGGAUCAUAAUUACAUGGGAUAUUUGAUAUGGUGAUUUUUUUCAUAGUAGAUGGUACGAAGAAAGAUGGUUAAAAAUUAAGUAACACAGAGAUCUUAAAACUGUAAAUUCUGAAUUUUAUGGAAAGAUGCAAGAGUGUUUAUAGAAAUAGAUAAGCAUAUAAGCCUUAAUCUUGCUUUUCCUAUUCAAUUAUGACAAUUGAUACAUAACUAAGUUUUCUUUUGAUCGUGAAUUUAGGAAAAAAGAAAUUGUCAACAAUAUUGUUGAAAAGGUUAUUAAUCCUUCAUGUGUGCAAUUUUUGUUUGAUCUAAAACUCAUUGUAACUUCUGACUCAUUACUGGCGGUAGUUCUUGUCAAAUGAUUUUGUUGUGAUGCUUUUUCAUUAGGAUGGUUUUGUGGAUGGAUGGAAGUUGGAGUAACCAUGUCAUACAUAUAUCUGCUAUAAAUAAAAAAAAAUGGUUUAAAAGGCUCAGGCAAAUUUUUUUCUCUAGUUGUAAUAAUCUUUUCUGAAGAUUAAGUUUAUGGAUAAAGAUUGAGUGAAAUAAUGCUGUAUCAUGGCAUAGGUGAUUUGUGAAACGGAUUUUGCAUCCAAACAUAAUAAUACAACUAUAUAUUUCUUUAGGAUGAGGACCUUCUUGUUGAUAAUUUUAAUCCAAAAAGGCAAAUGUUUUUUUGCUUCGUUUUAUAAAAUUUCUCCAAGAAUAUUGUUGACAAUUUCUUUUCAACAAUAUUGUUGGCAAUUUCUUUGUGCUUAAGGUCCUAAAUGAUUCUGCAAGCAAUCAAAUUCACGAUCAAUAGAAAACUUAGAUAUGUAUUAAUUAUCAUAAUUAGACUGUGACAAGAGGAUUAAGGGCUUAUAUGCAUAUAUGUGGAUAGCUAUCUAUUUCUAUAAAUACUCUUGCAUCUCUCCAUGUUCAGAAUUGCCAACUUUAAGAUUUAUGUUUUCCUUGACUUUUAACCAUCUUUUUUCGGAUCAUCUGUCAUUGAAAAAUAAAAAUCACCAUAUUAAAUAUUUUAUGCAAUUAUGACAGUUAUUGACACUCACUUAUCCUAUCCACCUGUUUAUUAAGAACAACCAGGCUUUUGGUGUGCAUGAGAUUGAGGAAGAAUUCCAUUUGAAGGAGGUAUUUAUCUAUUGUUAAAGAAGAGGGUCUUGAGAUAUCUCAGCCGGCUCUGGAUCCUACCAAAUCUGAGGUACAUCAUCCACUGAGUCCAUAAAGCGGGAUCAAAACUGCACAGGUUGACCUUAUUUUUCUAACCUUUUGCUAUAAACAUGUUCCACUGGUAAAUUCGCACCAUAUUAAAAUUACAACCAAUAUGGCACUCUAUUAACUAUCUUAGGUAUUGUAUAGUUCCUUGUCCUUUUGGGAUUUCAUUUAAAAAAUAUGUGCAUACUACACACAGCGUCUCCAUAAGGUGUACUACAGAAAAAUGUGCCCUAACAUACCCUUGCUAUUUACGUUACCAAUGUAUAUGAAUAGAGUGGUCCUAAUAUAGGGGACCUUUCAAAGAA